rfam:Picea glauca, whole genome shotgun sequence.
GAAUCCGUGGCGUAAUGGUAUCGCGUCUGACUCUAGAUUAAAGGGUUGCGUGCUCGAUUCACAUCGGGUUCA